rnacentral:lncRNA from 1 species
GUUGAAGGCCGUAUGGUGGUCUAUAGUUGUUGAUUUCUGUUUCAAUUGGUCUUUUGUAGAGAGAUGUGUCAUUGGUAAUCAUAGAUAUAGGAAGAUGUGGUGUGAGUGCCAAUUAACAAUUUAAAAAGUAAACCAUUAUAGGUCAAUGUACGGCUUUCAAAACGGAGCCUUGGCUCAAACCGAACAACAAGCUAUAAAGGGCCCCAAAAUUACUAGUGUAAAACCAUUCAAACGGGAAAACCAACGGUCUAAUUUAUAUAUAUAUAAAAAAAAAAACGAGAAACGAGAAACACGUAUAAAUUACAUAGACAAACGACAACUACUGUACAUCAGAUUCCUGAAUUAGGACAGGUGCAAACAUUUGCAGUGGGAUUAAACGUUUUAAUGGUACCAAACCUUCUCCCUUUUUCUAAAACAUUAGCAUAACAUCACAACAUAGAAAAACACACGAUAAAAUAUCAAUUGGCAGGCUUAACUCAAUCAAAAAACGUAAAUUAAUACACUAUGAACGAAUAAAUUUGAUCUGCGAUAUCUGAAUGCAAAGUUAAUAAAUUAUUAGGGACAAACAUUCAAGGCCAAAAAGCAAACAAGAAAGUCCAAACAAAGCCAUGGCAAGAAAACACUGCGAAAUAUUUAACCUUUCGAAAAUAAUCACUUAUGAAAUAACACUAACGGUACCAAUUUUCCUGCACCAGAUGCGCAUUUCGACAAUACAUGUCUCUUCAGUGAUGCUCGUGGCCAAAAUAUUUGAAAUCCAAAGCUUAUAUAAAAGAUGAAGAGCUAUAAUCCAAAAGGUCCAAAAAGUAUAGCCAAAUCCGUGAAAGAAAUCAGAGCUUUGCAUGAGGGAGAUACAUUCCUUAAUUUAUAAAAAUUUCUAACAUUUUGUAACAGCAAAUUUUAAUAACACAAAAAAUCCGUAUUUUCAUGCCUGUACCGAAGUACUGGCUACUGGGCUGGUGAUAUCCUCGGGGACUAACAGUCCACCAGCAGAGGCAUCGACCUUGUGGUAGAAAUAACAUUAACGGUACCAAUUUUCCUGCACCAGAUGCGCAUUUCGACAAUGCAUGUCUCUUCAGUGAUGCUCGUGGCCAAAAUAUUUGAAAUCCAAAGCUUAUAUAAAAGAUGAAAAGCUAUAAUACAAAAGGUCCAAAAAGUAUAGCCAAAUCCGUGAAGGAAUCAGAGCUUUACAUGAUACGUUUGAUUGAUAUCGUUGUACCGCAAAGCCAUUUAUUGCCGAACCGUUUGGUUUCUGUAGAUGUUCAAUUUCUACUAAAAUAAAGGAAAAUCGGCUUUCCAUAGAGGAUUAACGUUUAUAUCCACGUUUCGUUGAUUUGUUUUGUCUUGUACAUUAAUCCCGCAUAAAGUCAUUCCCA